AGUUUGAUCCUGGCUCAGGAUGAACGCUGACAGAAUGCUUAACACAUGCAAGUCGAUGGGGAAGUGGUGCUUGCACCAUGGUAACCAUGGCGGACGGGUGAGUAACGCGUAAGGGACUUACCCGCGGGACUGGGAUAACAGCAGGAAACUGCUGAUAAGACCGGAUAAGGUCAUAGAGCUGCAUGGUUCUAUGAUGAAAGGCGACGCCCGCGGAGAGCCUUGCGUCCUAUUAGCUAGUUGGGGGGGUAAUGGCCCACCAAGGCGAAGAUAGGUAGCCGGCCUGAGAGGGUGGACGGCCACAAGGGGACUGAGAUACGGCCCUUACUCCUACGGGAGGCAGCAGUGGGGAAUAUUGGACAAUGGGGGCAACCCUGAUCCAGCGACGCCGCGUGAGUGAAGAAGUAUUUCGGUAUGUAAAGCUCUAUCAGCAGGGAAGAUAAUGACAGUACCUGACUAAGAAGCCCCGGCUAACUACGUGCCAGCAGCCGCGGUAAUACGUAGGGGGCAAGCGUUAUCCGGAUUUACUGGGUGUAAAGGGAGCGCAGGCGGUUUGGCAAGUUGAGAGUGGAAGCAGGGGGCUCAACCCCUUGACUGCUCCCAAAACUGUUAAACUUGAGUAUGGGAGAGGCAGGCGGAAUUCCUAGUGUAGCGGUGAAAUGCUUAGAUAUUAGGAAGAACACCGGUGGCGAAGGCGGCCUGCUGGACCAAAACUGACGCUGAGGCUCGAAAGCGUGGGUAGCAAACAGGAUUAGAUACCCUGGUAGUCCACGCCGUAAACG
rnacentral:rRNA from 1 species